UACGGGGAUGCAAGUGUUAUCCGGAAUCACUGGGCGUAAAUCGUCUGCAGGUGGUUUCCUAAGUCCACUGUUAAACCUUGAGGCUCAACCUCAAAUCUGCAUUGGAAACUAGGAGACUUGAGUAUAGUAGGGGUAGAGGGGAUUUCCAGUGGAGCGGUGAAAUGCGUAGAUAUUGGAAAGAACACCGAUGGCGAAGGCACUCUACUGGGCUAUUACUGACACUCAGAGACGAAAGCUAGGGGAGCAAAUGGG
rnacentral:rRNA from 1 species